UAGAAGCAUGACUCAUAUAAGCGGGCAUACUGAUCAAAGAGUUAACAGCACCAAACGAAACCGAUAUUUCAAAGAGCUUAGUAGUGUUUACAAUAGUUUUAGAGACUUCAACGUCGCCAGUAAAAACAGACAUUACAGCACCUGGUCCACGUGCAAAGGAGUAAAAGAUUGCGGUUGACUUAGCGUCAGGGUCUAAUCCAGGGAAGUUGACCUGAAGUCCCUUGCUCUUUAAGAAUUUGGCAAUUUCUAUUGCAUUCUGCUGUGCACGUUCAACACGCAAUCCCAUCGUUUUAAUACCGCGCAACAGAAGGAAACAUUCGAAGGGAGCCAUAGCAGCACCCAUUGCGUUGAUGUUAAAAAACACAGAUUUAGCAAUCUCAUCGCUUUUUGUGGCAAUGACACCACCCAUUAAAUCGUGAUGACCUGAGAGAUACUUUGUGGCCGACUCGUAAACUAUAUCAUAACCAAAGUCCAAAGGGUUACAAAGGACAGGAGAAAGCAUAGUAUUGUCCAUUACCAAUAAGGCAUCCUUGGCUUUUGAACGAGUUAUUUUAACAAUAGCCCGAAUAUCACAAAUGCUGAUACGGGGAUUAGUAGGACUUUCAAUCAAAACCAAGUUUGUGUCUGGGCGCAAAGCUGCCUCAAAGGCUGCCAAGUCAGAAGUAUCAACGUUAUCCACUUUAAAUCCAUAUUGCCUUUGGUUAAAAGAGAGUAAGCGAUCAGAGCCACCAUAUAGAUCGUGGCCAGCAACGACAUGGCUAUUAGACUUGCAGCAGCGUAAAAUCAUGUCUAAAGCGGACAUACCAUUGCUAGUUACAAAAGCAUGUUUCGCCUUCAUAAGUUUAGCCAAGUGCACUUGAAGAACAGAGCGAGUAGGAUUACCGGAACGAGUGUAAUCAAAUUUGCCCAUAUGCUCUAAGCAUGGCUGUUUAAAGGUAGCUGAUUGAUAAAUUGGGACUGAAGACGCAUGAUACUGGUCUUCAUUGCCUUCAACAUGUACCAAUUCGGUAUCGACAGAAUAUUUACAAUCGCUGGGCAUAGUGAUGGUCAUGGAAGAUAAAAUUUAGGAAGAUAAAAUAGGCAAUAUGAGAGUAUAGUAGAUACAGAUAUGAAGCGAAGAACAAAUCUU